AAUGAUUGAGUCUUAUCUGUCCCUCUUUGUAAAUGAGCAGUUCCAUAUUUCCAUCUUUCUCAAUUGUCUCAUAUCAAUUUGGAGGUUGUUUGACUCUAUAAUUCUAAAGAUUUGACUCUACUCUAUUAUAUAUAUAUAUAGUAACAUAUUUCUUAAGAAGGCAUGUCUUAAAUGUUAGAUAUAUAUUACCUAAUUAUGUACAUCUCUCCAAUCGUAAUCUUGAUUGAUUGUAAUUUUUUCUGUAAUAUCAUGUUAGUAUAUUCUACAGUUCUCAUUAGACACGUUCGAGUCCCUUUUUUUUCUUGGCACGAUGCCAUGGAGUAGUAUCACGAUUCAGUCACUUCAAGAUCCACUCAGGGGACGAUACUCGAUUAAAGUUGAUCCAAUAUCCAAUACACGCGUUCGAGUCCCUUUUUUUUUUUUUGACACGGUACCAUGUAUUAGGAUCACGAUUCAGUCGCUUCAAGAUCCACUCAGGGGACAAUACUUGAUUAAACUUUAUACAGAUCAUCCCUUCGGGACACUCUUUUUCUCUUGACAAGACCCGAAGAGAGGGAAAAAGAAGGAGGGAAGAAGCCAAAGCCCCAUUUGAUCUCGACAGGGACGGGUCGUCCCCAAAGCCGGAUUCCCCGCUUCCUGGUCGCCCUCGUGGUUUCGAGCACGAAUUUUCGACGUUGUUUCCCACUUUUGCACUAGGUCAAAAGAGACUUGUUGCAGCAUUCCAUCUCAGUGGGAUUGAUUGGCCCGCACGGCUUGGUAUGACUGGCAGUGUAUUAAAGAGAUCGUCUUUGACAGAAACCCUUUUUCCACCGUUUUAAGAGAGUAGCUUUUUCCUGUGGCCCAGCGGAGAGCGAUUCCAACAGACAUGUAAGCUUGGUGCAUCUCAGUCGUGGAAUGAUGUACAUCUCGUAUGAAAAGCCGUGU
rnacentral:lncRNA from 1 species